rnacentral:lncRNA from 1 species
UGAUUACUAUGUUAUGGAUGCCUGGGGUCAAGGAGCUUCAGUCACUGUCUCCUCAGCUCCUGAAAAGGAACCUGACUUGUUCCUCUCCUCAGAGUGCAAAGCCCCAAAUCAAAAUGAACAUGUGAACGUGAGCUGUAUGGCAAUUGGAGUGCAACCAUUGACUCUGGCCUGGGAGCCAACGCUUCCAAGUACUGUCUUCUCUGGUACAAACAAAGA